UACAGAGGUCUCAAGCGUUGUUCGGAUUCAUUGGGCGUAAAGGGUGUGUAGGUGGCGCCGUAAGUCGGGUGUGAAAUUUCGGAGCUUAACUCCGAAACUGCAUUCGAUACUGCGGUGCUUGAGGACUGGAGAGGAGACUGGAAUUUACGGUGUAGCGGUGAAAUGCGUAGAUAUCGUAAGGAAGACCAGUGGCGAAGGCGGGUCUCUGGACAGUUCCUGACGCUGAGACACGAAGGCCAGGGGAGCAAACGGG
rnacentral:rRNA from 1 species